AGUGACAACCUCAACAUAAUCUGAGCUUGCUCUACAGGCAGGGUGGGAUGAUACUUCAAAGAGGUGUGACUGCAUGGAAACAAAUAAAAGGCACGUAAAAAUGGAGAGUUUGGAGUAUAACACGGUGAAAGCAGAGGGGGUUUUCCAGUUCGGAUGAUUCAGGACCGCACGGAUUUCAUCCAAAUGUUCGUCCAGGCCAGGAAGUAACGAGGAAUGUGAGGAUGUCAUUGUCUGGAGUUUGCUUCCCAGCACAGACCUGCAAUUGAGAUGUUCCCAGUGAGUGUGAGCGAGCGUCCCGGUCCCAGGUGGAUCCACGGUAAUAGCAGCGAGGCCCUCGAUCUCCCUCUUGACCAGACUAGAUGCUCAUUGGCCCCCAGGUCAUUUGAGUUUGACACCCCUGCUCUUGACAGUAGAACGUGUGCAUUCAGGCGUGCUAAAGUUGAACAGUAUCCACCUCCAUUCAAGACCAACUCAAGGUAAAGACAUUUAAUCUUCAUUUCUUCAUUCAAAUUCAUACUUUUUAGAUGUUGUUUUUGUGUAGAAUGAUAUUUUUGCUUUACCCACUUUUCCAUGUGUUUGUUCAUGUCUUUUUUUCUGUUAAUCAUCCUUAAAAAAAAAGGUGCACUUGCACUUGUUGCAUCUCCAAGGUGCAAGGUGCAUUUUCACUACAGGAAAUAGUGCCAGGAUAUUUACUUGGAACUAUGUGUAGGAACCAGGGGCUAAAUGAAACCACCAGGUAGAUAUUUUAGCCCCCAAAAUUCCCUGCUUUACAGGGAGAACUUUGUGAUAGUUUAGGAACCUUCAGGGUGGAGCUUGUUGCACUGAACAUACCUGGUUGUGGUCCAGCGUUUCAUUUCACCCAAAUCAAAUCCCACAACCCACAUUAUCCAUCCAUCCAUCUUCUACCCCUGUAUCCUCCACAUAGGACAGUUCGCCAGUCCUUCACAGGGCCACAUAGAGAACCCAGGUCUUCUUGCUGCAACCCACGUGAUUUAAAACACAAUAGUUCAAAUGUUUUGAAUUUACUCUGUUACCGGAGAUUAUGGGAUGUUGAAUUUGUCCAGAAUCCGUUUAGGAAUGAUCCGAUAAGUUUCAAUACAUAAUAACAGUAUCCCUCGUCGCUCCACUGUUAGUCCUGCUGCUGUUAACCUCACUUACCAUGUGAUUGCAGCAGUAAUGUCGCCGUUCCUCACUUUCCCACUUGCUUGCUCUGUCUUUACUCUCUCACUGCAUCAGUGAUUCUUCAAAACAUGUCUCGUGACCACAUUAUGAUAUUAUUAUACAGUAUGUGUCAUUAGAGAAUGGCCAUUAUGAUAGAUCACUGCUGGUUUGAGGUGCGGUUGAAGACUUUUCCAACUCAAUUUUAUAUUUUCUUCAUUGUAUUUAAUAAUAACAAUCAUGUUCUGAGGGUCAAGUGUUGAAUCAUUAGCCAAUGUAUGCAAUCCAGACCUGGUAAACUGAAGCUGCCUGGUCUGCAUUGCUCUUCAGCAGGGGUUCUUCUGGAGGUUGUCAUUUGAAGCAAACACUAAAGCAUCUAAUUUAAUGGAAUAAGAAGCAAAACCAGCUGCUCGUUCUGUUUGAAUGAAAAGCUGCGGAAUUUCUGGCCUUUAACACUGCAACUACAGAGAAGGCACUUUCGGAGAGGGGCAUCCAGCCACACUUAGCUCUGAUUCCAUGCUGUUUAGUGUAUUUGUGCAGUAUUCAUGCACCUUUAUUACUGUUUAAUGUCAACUCUUAACGGUGCAAAACAUAGCCCACCUACAAGCCACAAUUUGCAAUACGUUUAGUGUUAUUGACCAAGAUCCAAAGGUGCCCUGUAAUUUCACUGCACUUCACUGCAGGGUUCCUAAUAUUCUUUGGAUUGAAGGUGCUUUAGUUUUUACGCCACAAACGCACAAAAACAUUAGAGGGUUAAAAAAAAAAGGUAAAUAUUUUCUCAAUGCAGAUGCAGUUAUCUUAAAUUAUGGCUAUUCUAUUCAGUCUUCUCCCUCCCUCCCUCUCUCCUCUUCUCCUCUUUUUCUCUCCCAUCCCUUCUUUCUCGGUUGUGUCCCUCGCCUCUGGCAAAUGGGAGUCAUUUGUUUGUGUGAACUUCCCAUAACCCGCAGUGCGUGAGACACUUAUCAUUCAGAGUGGGGCUGCUUCAUUGUGAGUUGUAAUACCUCUUGUAGCUUCUCUUCUCUUCUCUUCUCUUCUCUUCUCUUCUCUUCUCUUUCACAACAGGCUCAUUAUUAAUGACUCUCAUUCUCACCUCAUCCUGUGAUUCUCUCUCUCUCUCUCACACACUCUCAUCUCCCCCAUUUUGCCCUUUAUAGUUUUCCCCUUCCCCCUCUUUCCCCCUACCGUCACUCCUCUCUUCAAUCUCAUUCCCCCUGUAAUCUCGGGGUACACAGGACGGUACUCAUUACUGCACUCAUAUCAUAUCGUCCAUCCUCUGUCUUCUUUAUAUUCCUCUAUUCUAACAAGUCUUCAUCUCAGGAGCCAUCAGUUGUCCUCCCCUUUUCAUUUCCCUAAUGUGCCCACAGCAAACACACACAUAUGUAAACACACACCAUAUACUGGCCCUAACUCAUAAUUUCAUUGCCCUAACCUGGUCCCCAUCAUUGUGAUGUAGAGUGCACCCCAGUACCCUGCAACUGUGUGGCUCACAGUGUGUAUGUGUGUGUGUGUGUUUGUGUGUCCACACAAUUUAUUUUAUCUCUGUGAAUAUCUUUGGGUAAAAUGAGCGUGCAUUUACCCAGAGAGCGAGACAAAUCAGGUAACCUAAACAAGGAAUGGCAGAAAACAUAAGGAAGAAAAAGUGAGAUGAAAAUAAAGAUGGAAACCGAAAGAGGGGUGAGACACAGACGGGGAGAGGAAAAGAGCAAUUUUUUAAGGAGGGAAAGCUGUCAUAGGAGGCCGAGGUGAGCCCUAACCCUCUUGCUUGCUUUAAUCCCUCAUUUAUGUGAACUCAGCUUUGGAAAUGAAGCUGUCACUGUAUUUUCCUUCCUUUUUACCCAUGCUGUGGUUGAAUCAGAAACCACACAUGCAUGCAACACACACACACACACACACACACACACACACACACACACAAUCGCAUAACGGAGACACAGAAAAUCACUCAGGAGAGGUUUUAAAUUCAUUCCAGAGUUGGAGGCAGAGAUUCAUAGAGCCUCACCUUGUCUCCUAGAGGAGGAAUCAUCGUAUAUGUCGGAGACAGAGGGGAAUUAUGGGUAAAUGCAGUGGAGAGGAAUGAUAGUCUGCAAUCUGUGGCUCUAAUCUGGGAUCUUUGACACAUGCCAUUCAUUUCAGGCGAUAUUCCACGGCUUGAUGUAGAGCUGAAGUAUGUGACUUUGCAGUCACUUUUGCCUGUUUUUUCAACACAAAUCUGUAAAAUAAAGAAAAAAUUUAAUGGUAACUUUAAAAUAAAUGAAACACACUAUUGUUUAAAUCACCAUUGUUCCUUUUAGAUAAUCUUAAUUGGGUAUUUUUAAGUAUAGGAGCGUUUAACUGCAAAUGCAAAACAGCCGUACUGUGCAUUUUAAAAAAAACCCAAAACACUAAGAAAUCCGUCAGUAUGUCCGUCACUUUAAAAUAAUAGUCUGAAAUAAAAUGAUUAAGUGUACCAUCGUAAAUGUUACGACUAAUUAAAAAAAAAACCUUAAGGUGUCACAUAAUUUAAAGAGAUUUUUAGUUGCAUUGAAUGUAUACACCAGAUCUUAUUAUUUUUUUACCUAGAAGGACAGAGAGAGGACAAAGUAAAUUAGUAAAGGGCACUUGUCUGUUGCAAAGGCACAGCCUUGUACUGCCAUCUAGUGGCGGCACAAGAAAGAGGAUCAAUGGUUGAUUGGUCGAUGGAGGGAUUGAUUUAUCCUUUAUUUAAUAAACAAAUAACCAGAGAUAAUGGAAGCACUCUGAGAUGUAAUGUUUGGAACUUUUGAACAAAUCCAAUAAUAAUUACAUAAACUGUAAAAACAAAAAACGUGUUUAUGAAAUUCUGGCAAGGCACUAUUAUUGCAUUAAAUAAAUGUAUUGUACUUCGCAUAAUGUAUUUGUAUGUAACAGGUGAGUUGACCAUAUUUUUCCUGAUUGCUUUUUAAACAAUUCAUAUUAAAACUGCUUUUUCAAUAUUAUAUGAAAAAAUAUAAACAUCGUACUACACCUAACCUCAGACGAAAGUCAGGUCAUUUUUUUGAAACGACAGCCAAAGAUAAGAGGUAAAACAAGGUUGAAACUAAGUUAAUAAAUAAAUUUGAAAAAAGGCAAAAGAAUCAUAUUCCUGUCCAUCUUUUGCUCCUCAAACUCCUCGUUCCUUCAUUUCUUCCCCCCUUGUUGUUCUUCUCAGGUGGAGCAAGCAUCAUACUGGUGUGUAAUAGCAUGCUGUCAGUGUUGGCUGUGGGGAGGAGAGUGGUGCGUCUCAGAUGAGAUAUGUGACUGGCAUGCUAACACGCAGUUUUAUCUGAGGGAAAAAGCGGGGAGAGACGGAGGGACCCCACAUCUCCUCACUACAGGCCUGUGAUUAAAGCUAGAUGAGCACACACACACGCACACGUGCACACACUUCCAAAAAACACACCCAUAGAAGUGUAAACACAUGCACGUGUGGAGAUUAUAAAGAAAUGACACACAGGAGGGCAUACACACACAUAUUUCAGUUUAUAUAUACGCAGCCACACAUCCUCCCGUUGUAGGUAUUGUUUUGACCUAAGCACCUCUGCUCGUACAUUAUGAAGUUGAUCGGAGGAUUUGGUUCUAGACGGCACAUCCUCUGCCUGAGAAUAAGAGCUCUCACUUUCAUCCACCGAGUUUCAUCCACUACACACAAACGGCGACACACGUAUCCAUAAAACCCAAAGAAAAUGAUUGUGUGCAAAGACGGACAUAAACAAAAUCACAGAUUUAAAAUAGUACAGCUGGCUUCGGCGCGGCUCGGUUUCAUCUUAAAUUUCCAUUUUACAUUCUACUUUGGCUUUAGGGCUUUGUCUCGGAGUGUGAUUUCUCAGAUGGACGCUGGCCGGAAACUAGUUUGAUUUUAGAUGAGCAGCAUCAGCCGACAGUGCGGUCUCUAUCGCUUGCCAAUAAAGCUUUGGAUACAGAUUUUACAUCCCUGACCGAUGGAACUGGGAGGGCACAUGAUGACUUCCAUGAAGCAAGUAAAUGGACAAAUCACUCCCAGUAUUGUAUAUGUGAAAUUCAUAUUGGAAUGCAUUUCUGCUAGUUUAGUGUUAUGUAUCUGUCUAUAUUGUUUUCAGGAUCAAAUGUGAAAAAAGUCAAUUUUUUUUCUGUAAACCGAUAAAAAAACACAUGAAAUUAUAUUGUUUUUGUGGCUGCAGUGAUAGGAAAUACAUUGCUUUUUGUCUAUGUCACAUUUUCCUCUGUUUUAUAAAAGCUAAAAAAAUGAAUGCAUAGUAAUUUCACUGCGUGUAUAUACAAUAAUACUAUACAUGACUUGUUCAGAGUGUUCACCCUAUGUCAACCAGCGUACUGCGACGCUCAUGUGGAGGAUAAAG